UGGGGAAUCUUGCGCAAUGGGAGCAAUCCUGACGCAGCAACGCCGCGUGGGUGAUGAAGGUCUUCGGAUCGUAAAGCCCUGUCGGAGGGGAAGAUGCUUUGCACAGCUAAUAGUGGUGCAAGGUGACGGUACCCUCAAAGGAAGCACCGGCUAACUCUGUGCCAGCAGCCGCGGUAAUACAGAGGGUGCAAGCGUUGUUCGGAAUUAUUGGGCGUAAAGGGAGUGUAGGCUGUUCGUUAAGUCUUCUGUGAAAUCUACGGGCUUAGCCUGUAAAGUGCAGAGGAAACUAGCGGGCUUGAGUGUCGGAGAGGAUAGGGGAAUACCCAGUGUAGAGGUGAAAUUCGUAGAGAUUGGGUGGAACACCAGUGGCGAAGGCGCCUAUCUGGCUGACAACUGACGCUGAGACUCGAAAGCAUGGGGAGCAAACAGG
rnacentral:rRNA from 1 species